AAACCCUGCACUUACAAGCUGUGGAAGCACAUUUCUUGUGUGACCGCGUACUUUUUGUAGAACGGGCCAACGAGUUACGUUAAGUAGCAAGGUUAAGCACUUAAGGUGUGGAGCCGUAGCGAAAGCGAGUUUUAACUGAGCGUUCAGUUACUUGACGUAGACCCGAAACCGGGCGACCUACCCAUGAGCAGGAUGAAGCGAAAGUAAAAUUUCGUGGAGGUCCGAACCCACGAGCGUUGAAAAGCUCGGGGAUGACUUGUGGGUAGCGGUGAAAUUCCAAUCGAGCCCGGAGAUAGCUGGUUCUCCCCGAAAUAGCUUUAGGGCUAGCCUCAAGGUGAGAGAUACGGAGGUAGAGCACUGAAUGUCCUAGGGGGUAUUGCACCUACCGAAGACUAUCAAACUCCGAAUGCCGUCAUCUUAUACUUGGGAGUCAGACUGUGGGUGAUAAGAUUCAUAGUCGAAAGGGCAACAGCCCAGAUCGUCAGCUAAGGUCCCUAAAUGUAAGUUAAGUGGUAAAGGAUGUGGGAUUGCACAGACAACCAGGAUGUUGGCUUAGAAGCAGCCACUCAUUCAAAGAGUGCGUAAUAGCUCACUGGUCGAGUGAUCCUGCGCCGAAGAUUUCCGGGGCUAAAACUUACUACCGAAGCUACGGCAUCAGUAAUGAUGGGUAGGGGAGCUUCCCAUACGGGUUGAAGCAUGACCGUAAGGACAUGUGGACAGUAUGGGAGUGAGAAUGUUGGCAUGAGUAGCGAGAUGUGGGUGAGAAUCCCACAGGCCGUAAACCCAAGGUUUCCAGGGGAAGGUUCGUCCGCCCUGGGUUAGUCGGGACCUAAGCUGAGGCCGAAAGGCGUAGGUGAUGGACAACAGGUUGAUAUUCCUGUACUACCGAUAACCGUUUGAGAGAUGGGAUGACACAGUAGGAUAAGCUAAGCACACUGUUGGUUAUGUGUGCCCAAGCAUUGAGGCAGUCAGAGUA
rnacentral:rRNA from 1 species